rnacentral:rRNA from 1 species
GCAAGUCGAACGGCAGCAGCAUCUAGCUUGCUAGGUGGCUGGCGAGUGGCGGACGGGUGAGUAACGCGUAGGAAUCUAGCCUGCAGUGGGGGACAACCCGGGGAAACCCGGGCUAAUACCGCAUACGAUUUGAGGAUGAAAGCGGGUCUUUCGGGGCACGCGCUGUGGGAUGAGCCUGCGUCCGAUUAGCUAGUUGGUGGGGUAAAGGCCUACCAAGGCGACGAUCUAUAGCUGUUCUGAGAGGAAGAUC